rnacentral:rRNA from 1 species
UGGCGCAGCUACCAUGCAGUCGAGCGGUAGCACAGAGAGCUUGCUCUCGGGUGACGAGCGGCGGACGGGUGAGUAAUGUCUGGGAAACUGCCUGAUGGAGGGGGAUAACUACUGGAAACGGUAGCUAAUACCGCAUAACGUCGCAAGACCAAAGUGGGGGACCUUCGGGCCUCAUGCCAUCAGAUGUGCCCAGAUGGGAUUAGCUAGUAGGUGGGGUAACGGCUCACCUAGGCGACGAUCCCUAGCUGGUCUGAGAGGAUGACCAGCCACACUGGAACUGAGACACGGUCCAGACUCCUACGGGAGGCAGCAGUGGGGAAUAUUGCACAAUGGGCGCAAGCCUGAUGCAGCCAUGCCGCGUGUGUGAAGAAGGCCUUCGGGUUGUAAAGCACUUUCAGCGGGGAGGAAGGCGUUAAGGUUAAUAACCUUGGCGAUUGACGUUACCCGCAGAAGAAGCACCGGCUAACUCCGUGCCAGCAGCCGCGGUAAUACGGAGGGUGCAAGCGUUAAUCGGAAUUACUGGGCGUAAAGCGCACGCAGGCGGUCUGUCAAGUCGGAUGUGAAAUCCCCGGGCUCAACCUGGGAACUGCAUUCGAAACUGGCAGGCUAGAGUCUUGUAGAGGGGGGUAGAAUUCCAGGUGUAGCGGUGAAAUGCGUAGAGAUCUGGAGGAAUACCGGUGGCGAAGGCGGCCCCCUGGACAAAGACUGACGCUCAGGUGCGAAAGCGUGGGGAGCAAACAGGAUUAGAUACCCUGGUAGUCCACGCCGUAAACGAUGUCGAUUUGGAGGUUGUGCCCUUGAGGCGUGGCUUCCGGAGCUAACGCGUUAAAUCGACCGCCUGGGGAGUACGGCCGCAAGGUUAAAACUCAAAUGAAUUGACGGGGGCCCGCACAAGCGGUGGAGCAUGUGGUUUAAUUCGAUGCAACGCGAAGAACCUUACCUGGUCUUGACAUCCACAGAACUUAGCAGAGAUGGAUUGGUGCCUUCGGGAACUGUGAGACAGGUGCUGCAUGGCUGUCGUCAGCUCGUGUUGUGAAAUGUUGGGUUAAGUCCCGCAACGAGCGCAACCCUUAUCCUUUGUUGCCAGCGGUCCGGCCGGGAACUCAAAGGAGACUGCCAGUGAUAAACUGGAGGAAGGUGGGGAUGACGUCAAGUCAUCAUGGCCCUUACGACCAGGGCUACACACGUGCUACAAUGGCAUAUACAAAGAGAAGCGACCUCGCGAGAGCAAGCGGACCUCAUAAAGUAUGUCGUAGUCCGGAUUGGAGUCUGCAACUCGACUCCAUGAAGUCGGAAUCGCUAGUAAUCGUAGAUCAGAAUGCUACGGUGAAUACGUUCCCGGGCCUUGUACACACCGCCCGUCACACCAUGGGAGUGGGUUGCAAAAGAAGUAGGUAGCUUAACCUUCGGGAGGGCGCUACCACUUGGAU